ACGGGUAGCUGGUCUGAGAGGAUGGUCAGCCACACUGGAACUGAGACACGGUCCAGACACCUACGGGUGGCAGCAGUCGAGAAUCAUUCGCAAUGGGGGAAACCCUGACGAUGCGACGCCGCGUGGAGGAUGAAGGCCUUAGGGUUGUAAACUCCUGUCAAGAGGGAAUAAGCAAGUGAAGGUACCUCUAGAGGAAGGGGCGGCUAAUUCCGUGCCAGCAGCCGCGGUAACACGGAAGCCCCGAGCGUUGUUCGGAUUCAUUGGGCGUAAAGGGUGCGUAGGCGGCGCGGAAAGUCCGGCGUGAAAGGCAGAGGCUCAACCUCUGGACUGCGUUGGAUACUUCCGUGCUUGAGGACUGGAGGGGAGACUGGAAUUCACGGUGUAGCAGUGAAAUGCGUAGAUAUCGUGAGGAAGACCGGUGGCGAAGGCGAGUCUCUGGACAGAUCCUGACGCUGAGGCACGAAGGCUGGGGGAGCGAACAGGAUUAGAUACCCUGGUAGUCCCAGCAGUAAACGAUGUGAGCUUGAUGUGGGGGGAUUCGACCCCUUCCGUGUCGAAGCUAACGCGAUAAGCUCACCGCCUGAGGAGUACGGCCGCAAGGCUAAAACUCAAAGAAAUUGACGGGGACCCGCACAAGCGGUGGAGUAUGUGGCUUAAUUCGAUGCAACGCGAAGAACCUUACCUGGCCUUGACAUGCAUUGUGUCGUCGGUGAAAGCCGGCUAGUCCUGGAAACAGGACGCUUUGCACAGGUGCUGCAUGGCUGUCGUCAGCUCGUGUCGUGAGAUGUUGGGUUAAGUCCCGCAACGAGCGCAACCCUUGUGGUCAGUUACUAACCGGCUUAGCCGGAGGACUCUGGCCAGACUGCCCUGUCAAACGGGGAGGAAGGUGGGGACGACGUCAAGUCAGUAUGGCCCUUAUGGCCAGGGCUGCACACGUACUACAAUGCCCGGUACAAUGUGAACCGAAACCGCGAGGUGGAGGAAAUCGCUCUUGAAAACCGGGCCCAGUUCGGAUUGGAGUCUGCAACUCGACUCCAUGAAGUCGGAAUCGCUAGUAAUGGCGUAUCAGCAACGACGCCGUGAAUACGUUCCCGGGUCUUGUACACACCGCCCGUCACAUCAUGGAAGUCUCCUGUACCCGAAGCACGUGCGCCAACCUUUUAGGAGGCAGCGUUCGAAGGUAUGG
rnacentral:rRNA from 1 species